ACGAUGCUCUCUGACACCCUAGAGAUAGGGCUUCUCCUUCGGGAGCAGAGUGACAGGUGGUGCAUGGUUGUCGUCAGCUCGUGUCGUGAGAUGUUGGGUUAAGUCCCGCAACGAGCGCAACCCUUGAUCUUAGUUGCCAUCAUUAAGUUGGGCACUCUAAGGUGACUGCCGGUGACAAACCGGAGGAAGGUGGGGAUGACGUCAAAUCAUCAUGCCCCUUAUGACCUGGGCUACACACGUGCUACAAUGGACGGUACAAAGAGCUGCAAGACCGCGAGGUGGAGCUAAUCUCAUAAAACCGUUCUCAGUUCGGAUUGUAGGCUGCAACUCGCCUACAUGAAGCUGGAAUCGCUAGUAAUCGCGGAUCAGCAUGCCGCGGUGAAUACGUUCCCGGGUCUUGUACACACCGA
rnacentral:rRNA from 1 species